GGAGGUAGUGACAAUAAAUCACAAUGCGGAACUUCUGUUUUGCAAUUGGAUUGAGAACAACGCACAACACUUAUCGAUAAACAAUUGGAGGGCAAGUCUGGUGCCAGCAGCCGCGGUAACUCCAGCUCCAAUAGCGUAUAUUAACGUUGUUGCAGUUAAAAAGCUCGUAGUUGAAGUGAAGUGUGAACCUUCUGGAUUUUCGUUUGAAUUUCUUGCUGGUUCGCACUCUUUCCAAAUAGUUUGCAUGGGUAUUCACUUAUCUGUGUAUUGCAUUUGGUCAUUUACUGUAAGAAAAUUAGAGUGUUCAAAGCAUACGUUUGUUUGAAUACAUUAGCAUGGAAUAAUUCGAAAAGGCUUUCAUGUUCGAUUUGAUUGGUUUGUUCGUGAAGGCAAGAUUAAAAGGGACAGUUGGGGGUAUUCAUAUUCAAUAGUCAGAGGUGAAAUUCUCGGAUUUAUGGAAGAUGAACAAGUGCGAAAGCA
rnacentral:rRNA from 1 species